AAAACAUGGUCUUUUGUUUAUAUAAAAGAUCUGGCCUGCUCAGUGAAUUUUAAAUAGCUGCAGUAUUUUGACUGUACAAAGGUAGCAUAAUCACUUGUCUUUUGAUUGAGGUCUGGAAUGAAUGGUUUGAUGAAAGAUAUACUUUAUUUAUUUUUAAAAUAAAAUUUAAUUUUUAAGUUAAAAAGCUUGGAAAUUUUUUUAUAGGACGAGAAGACCCUAUAGAACUUUAUUUAUAUAUUUUUAUAUCUUUAUAGGUUAUGUAUUUUUAAUAAAAAAAUAUAAAUUUUGUUGGGGUGACAAAAAAAAUAUUAUAACUUUUUUUAAUUUUUACAUUAAUAUAUGUAUUUUUGAUCCUUUAUUUGGAAAAAAAGAAUAAGUUACCUUAGGGAUAACAGCGUUAUUAUUUCGGAGAGUUCAUAUUGAUGAAAUAGUUUGCGACCUCGAUGUUGGAUUAAAAUAAGAUAUAGAAGUAGAAUGUUAUACUCUUGGUCUGUUCGACCUUUAAAUUUUUACAUGAUCU
rnacentral:rRNA from 1 species